rnacentral:rRNA from 1 species
AUGGAGUUCCUGAUGCAACCAAUUAGGAGGACCACCGUGCUGGAUGAGGUUAAUGACAACAAGGUUCCAAUGGAGCCGCUGCACUACCCUGCGGUGGCAACCAUUGCAGAUCAAUUGCCGCCCAUGGCGGCAACGAGUGCUGGCGAGCAGAUCUGUGCAGCGGAGGGGUCGGCGGUCGCGGAAGCAGAUGGUGAAGCACAAACAAAGGUGUGGAUCGGAGCUGCCGCUCCCGGCAGGACGCCUUAUCCUAGUCGCACGAGCGCCUUUGAGAAGUCAAUACGUGGUUUUGCGGAGAAGUCUGCAUCGGAUGAGCAGGAUAGGAAAGGUUACUGA